AAUACUAAUCUGCAAGAGCAGACCAUGCCCCUUGUUGAGCCUGGGAACACAGAGGAAGCAUGAGAAAUUAAGCACCAAGUUUGGAGAUAAGAAAAUCGAGGCCCAGAGAUGCAUGUAAAAAAUCAGCUCAACAUGGAUUGAAGACUCAACAUAGACUUGAAAAGACCUGAAACCAUACAACUACGAGAAGCACAUACAAAGAUAAAGCUUUGGACAUUGACGUGAGUAAUGAUUUCUUGGCUAUGACACCAAAGGCACAGGCAAUAAACAAAUGGGAAAAUAGACAAGCGGGGCUGCAUUGAACGCUAAAGCAUCUUCAUAGCAAAGGAAACAAUCAACUGAGGGAAACGGCAACCCAGAAAAUGAGAGAAAAUGUUUGCAAAGCCUACGUGGUAGAAGGGGUAAAUAUCUGAAUACAUAAGGAAGUCAAACAACUCAAUAGCAAAAAACAAACAACCUGAUUGAAAAACAGACCUAGGACCUGCAGAGGCUUCUCUCACAAUAAAAUAAUGUUUUAAGAAGCUGUGAUCGUCUUUAUUGGACAUGUCAAGUAGGACACGUGUGUUUGGAAGGAAACUUUUUGAGUUUCUCUAUUGACUUAGCUAGUAGCCAUUACCCC
rnacentral:lncRNA from 10 species